ensembl:lncRNA
AUGCCAGUUUACCCCAGGAAUGGCAAUUUGUGUCUUCUUACUCUCUAUGCCUCCCCUCAUGGCUCCCCAUCUAAAGAGGCCAUAGCGCCCAGCUAUGAAGUGCUCAGAGACCCAAGUUCCAACUCCAGUGAGGCUCUUGUCUUACACCAUCACAGCACCACAUGCAUGAAGGAGCCAAAACCUUUCUGGGGAUUUGCCCUCAAGCUGGAAGCUGGUGGAUCUCGGAGCCGAAUGUCCUUAUUUGUUGAGCAGAAGAGCAGCUCUGAAGUGUCCUCGGGGAUGUCUGAGGAUGUGUGAAGACAAAUGAACAAAGAGUAAUCUCCUCUGAAGAUGUCCAAGAAGAAGCUGAUUAUUUACUCAGAGGGAGAUGUAAGUUCUGGUUGGAAGAAUGACCUGACAUCGAUACUAGUCCUAAAAUUCCACUAUUUUAUUAUUUUAUUAUUUUAUUAUUUAUUUAUUUAUUAUUUAUUAUUUUAUUAUUUAUUCCACUAUUUAUUAUUUUAUUUAGCUUAUAUCUAUUUGAAUAUUUGGCAACUAGUACACUCUCUUUUUAACGGAUACAGAGGUAGCUUCUGGGUAAAGCGUUAAUUUUGUUACUCAUAUUCCCCAUAGAAACCUAUAAUAGGGUUAGGUUAUUCUUUCAUUGGUACGGUGCCCAUAACCCUAUAUUUUGUGGGACAGUUCUGAUUUCAAACUUUCUCAUUUUCUGUUCUCUGAGUGCACUUCUGCUUGACACGUGACUUGUUCUAACUUGAGACUUAAUAUUGACAAUUUACUGACAGGGCAAAGGAAGUAUCAGCGAUGAAAAGAGCAAGCCAUUAUGGGUGGAUGCCUUGCAGAAGAGAUGAGAUUUCCUACCCUCGUGGAUAAUUUUGAGUUCCUUCAAAUAUUUCAGACCAAAGGACCUCUUUUCCUUCAAUGCUUUUUUCUUGAUAAAACAACAACAACAACAACAACAACAACAACAACAACUCUGCACUAAACUGUCUCUAUGAUGAUCAUGGAUUUAACCACUAGUUGCUAUUACUUGGGAGUGAUUUUUCCACAUGGCAUAGCAAAUUCUUGAACUAAUUUCCAUGGCUGCCACAGGACCAGUCAUAAUGCUUGGUUCUAGUAAGUGGAGGGAUGGUACUAGAAUGAGCAGCUGGUCAAUGCCUUCUGCUUCAAUCUUCUAUUUUGGUCCUGAUGUUCUGGGUGCCUCUUGCUGGCCUCACCCUAUUCCUAAGGAAGUCUUUGAUUUUUCCACUUCCCUUUAUUUCAUUUUUUUAUCAACUAAAAGUUGGAUUUUAGUUGAUAAAAAAAAUAGCACUUAACAGCAGAAACCCCUGAAAAGGAAGAUGUCUUUCUCCUUGUCCACUCAAAAAGCAACUGCCCUUUGCAGGUGAUGUGAUAUAGGAAGUAAAAUACUGAGGUUCAUGGAUAAGAAGGUAGAGUCAGAUAUCACUGAAGAAAGUCCAUCUUGUGAAAUGAAUAUUUAAUACACCUUUAUUAGAAUAUAAUUCCAAUUAGGUUAGAGGUCUUCAUCUACUUUACUCACUGAUAUAUCCUGGGCACCUUAGACAAUCAGUGUAUGUCAUGUGACUGUGCCAGACCAGGUCUUUAGGAAACAAACUGUCUCAGAGAGGCGGCAAAUGGGGAGGUAGGAGAUGUAGUUCAAAAGAUUUUACAAGUUUAUAUAAAUGUAUACAAGAUUUUAUAAGUUUCUAUAUUUAUGUAAGCUUAAAAUGCAUUUGAAACAUAGAGGAGAACAUGACUGAUUGUGCCUUUGGAGGGGCUGUGGUGGCUCUAGAGAGAAGCUAAAAUUGUCAAUGGGUAUUUAAGGACAGGUCCUUUCUUAGGGAGUCAUGGGUAUGUGAGUGUGAUGAGGGGUGAUAAAAGUUAUAAAAAAUUAAAUAGGAUAAGGGGUUACAGGGUAACUGAGAGGCUAUUUUAACUAGGGUGGGCAGGAAAAGGCUGUAUGUGGCAGAGACAUUUCAGCAGAAGCCUGAAAGAAGUGAGAGAAUGAGCUUUGGGUGUGAUUCUGUAGUUUUCCUUUAAACCCAUUUAGAGGCAGUGCUGUUAGCAUUGGAGAAGCAAGGAGAGGUGAUCCUUCAGGUGACUGCGGUCAUUUUUAGGAAAGAGACUGGGCAAAUUGCAAACUGAACUCACACACUGAACUUUGUUAAUGUAAUUACUCCAUCCAGGGUCCGGUGGCUCAGUGGUAGGACUGGGUUUGGGUUGAAGAGAAGGUACACCAACGACUGGGACAGGUGGAAGGAACCUGCUUCUUCAGCUCCUAAAGGGAAAAUUCACUUUGUAGGAAAAGCUCUUACAGCUGCUGGAGAAUAUCUAUCACAUGCUGAAUGACGUAUCCAGAUAAAAAGUAGAUUUUUACAUGCUCUUUGGGGACAGAGUUACAGAGCUUUCUAUGAACGUGUUUUGGGUGGAGUGAUCAUGAAUGUCAGCUUGCCUCAGCUGACUUGUAAUAAGAGUACAAAAGCCUUCCAUGGUUGCAUUGCAGGUAUUUAUAGAUUCUUCUUGCUCUAUUUUAUAGCACUUGCUGCUGAUGAAGUAUGCUGUGAAGGGAGUCUUGUUAAACACUGUCAGCACUCCAACUGGUCUAGAAGCCUGUCGCAUAUUAAAUGUUUUAUAGCUGAACUUUAUUACACUCAAACUUCACAGAGACAUUUAUGAACCUUAUUGCAUCCUGAUAUGAAACGAGGCCACAGAGGUAUUUCUGAUUUUAUGGGAAUGGAACUUUUCAUUGUAUGGAACUUUCACAAAGCUAUUGAACUCUAGAGUUCAAAGUGACUUUACAAAUGUUAAUUUCUCUAGGGAUCUUUGGGACCUUAAAAAAACUGCUGAUGACUUCUACAUCUUGCAUCUAACUUUUUUUUUUUUCAUUUGGAAAACAUGUACAGUUGCCUCAGUAAAAGGAAUGUGUGGAGUUUGUGGUUGAUGCUGUAUUCAUGCCAUGGUAAGAAGAGAGACCUUGUUUAUUGCUACAGGAGACAUAUAAGGAAAAUAAAAGGAGGAAAAUAUCAUUUAAUAGAUAAACA